rnacentral:rRNA from 1 species
CAGGAUGAACGCUAGCGACAGGCUUAACACAUGCAAGUCGAGGGGCAGCGUGGGAGUGGCAACACUCCCGACGGCGACCGGCGCACUGGUGAGUAACACGUAUGCAACCUGCCCCCUACAGGGGAAUAACCCAGAGAAAUUUGGCCUAAUGCCCCGUAGUCCGCGCCGCCGCAUGACGGUGCGGGGAAAGCUCCGGCGGUAGGGGAUGGGCAUGCGGCGCAUUAGCUUGUUGGCGGGGCGACGGCCCACCAAGGCGACGAUGCGUAGGGGUUCUGAGAGGAAGGUCCCCCACACUGGUACUGAGACACGGACCAGACUCCUACGGGAGGCAGCAGUGAGGAAUAUUGGUCAAUGGGCGAUGGCCUGAACCAGCCCAAGUCGCGUGCGGGAGGACGGCCCUACGGGUUGUAAACCGCUUUAGCCGGGGAGUAACGGUCCGCACGAGUGCGGGAUUGAGAGUACCCGGAGAAUAAGCAUCGGCUAACUCCGUGCCAGCCGCCGC